rnacentral:misc_RNA from 1 species
GAUGAAGAACGCAGCGAAAUGCGAUACGUAAUGUGAAUUGCAGAAUUCAGUGAGUCAUCGAAUCUUUGAACGCACAUUGCGCCCGCCAGCACUCUGGCGGGCAUGCCUGUUCGAGCGUCAUUUCAACCAUCAAGCCCCCAGGGGCUUGUGCUGGGGCCCUGCGGCUGCCCGCAGGCCCUGAAAACCAGUGGCGGGCUCGCUAGUCACACCGAGCGCAGUAGCACAUCUCGCUCAGGGCGUGCGGCGGGCUCCUGCCGUGAAACCCCCCACUGUAACCCCAAAGGUUGACCUCGGAUCAGGUAGGAAUACCCGCUGAACUUAAGCAUAUCAAUAAGCGGAGGA